ACUUUCUCACACUCGUCACCUGUUGGUCCCUCGUUCUUUGCUGAGCACUAAAUCCUGGGCACGUUUUGACUUUGUGCCUGCAUGGGGCAGUCAUGCCUGCGAACUUUUCCAACACUUACUUAAGCUAAAGAACUGUCAGCACUUUUAUUUCCUUUGGGGCUUUUUGUUUUUGUUUUUGUUUCUUUGUUUUAGUCAAACAAGAUCUCUCCGUGCAGCUCAGCCUAGCCUGGAACUCAGGCUGGGGUUGAACACAAGGCAGUCUUCCGGAUUCAGUCUUCCACAUCCGCAUCCGGGCUUUCUAGUUGUGAGCUACGGCACCCAACUCCUAGUGUGAUGUUAAACAGGCGGUGGAUACCAAUGUCCCUUCCUUCGCAUUCCCAGUCCUAACACUACGGCCUGAAGUAAAGAAAGAUGCUGGCUUAAAAGGAAGAAAUGUACCCUUCAUCACAUCAAUUCACAGGCUUAAGGGUGGGCAGCUGCAAAUCGGGAGGCAGCGGCUGCCUGGGCCAGGGCAACCAGGACUGUACUAGGAGAUGCUGUCAAAAACCAAAAACAGUAACAAUAGCUACAUAGAGACAUUCUGCCAAACAACAACAAAACCCAACAGAGACGCCACGUGUCACUCAACAAACUACCACAAACUGCCCUAAAGAACCCACCACCAAAGCAGCCCUGUGUCCAUCCCAUCUCCCAUCGGGUGUUAUUCUCAUGUCUUU
rnacentral:lncRNA from 1 species